rnacentral:misc_RNA from 1 species
GCAAGACUCAAGGCAAAUUCUUGAGGCACAUUCAACACCCAUUGAUAUAGUUACACCUAGACAAACUACAAAACAAGGACAUAUCAUCAAUCACUUGAAUUUACAAAGUGAAAGAAAUAGAACAAGUUGUGAUGCUAAAAAUGAACCUUAUAAAGGUUAAAUGAAAGUUAAAACAAGCUAUUAAUGAAUAGAAGAGGAAUAAAAAAAGUUGAACGCACUAUA